rnacentral:rRNA from 1 species
GUCUUCAAAAAAGAAUAGAUACCAUUCGAUUGCAUGUAGUAACAGAUGCGAUCAUACCAGCACUAAUGCACCAUAUCCCAUCAGAACUCCGCAGUUAAGCGUGUUUGGGCAAGAGUAGUACUAGGAUGGGUGACCUCCCGGAAAGUCCUCGUGUUGCAUCCCUC